GUCUAUGGCCACACUACCCUGAUGUGCCUGAUCUUGUCUGAUCUUGGAAGCUAAGCAGGGUCCAGUCUGGUUAGUACUUGAAUGGGAGAAGCUGUAAAGG
rnacentral:rRNA from 1 species